GAUGAACGCUGACAGAAUGCUUAACACAUGCAAGUCUACUUGAACUUCGGUUUGGGUGGCGGACGGGUGAGUAACGCGUAAAGAACUUGCCUCACAGAUAGGGACAACAUUUGGAAACGAAUGCUAAUACCUGAUAUUAUGAUUUUAGGGCAUCCUAGAAUUAUGAAAGCUAUAUGCACUGUGAGAGAGCUUUGCGUCCCAUUAGCUAGUUGGAGAGGUAACGGCUUAACGAGGCGAUGAUGGGUAGCCGGCCUGAGAGGGUGAACGGCCACAAGGGGACUGAGACACGGCCCUUGCUCCUACGGGAGGCAGCGGUGGAGAAUAAUGGACAGUGGACCAAGAGUCUGAUCCAGCAGUUCUGUGUGCACGAUGAAGUUUUUCGGAAUGUAAAGUGCUUUCAGUUGGGAGGAAAAAUAUGACGGUACCAACAGAAGAAGUUACGGCUAAAUACGUG
rnacentral:rRNA from 1 species